AAGAGGCAGAGUGUGAGCAUAAACAGUCCUUGGGAUCAUGGCCAGUGGGGAUCCGAGGGCCUCACCUGGCCGACCCCGUCCGCUCAGUCCCCUGCCCCUGCCACACAGCUGACCCCCACCCAGUUCUGGCUCAGACAUCCAGGGGGCAGACGGUGGAGAGAAGAACACACCCCAAACUAGAGUUGGCGAGAGCAUCGAGCGAGAGUCCGCAGGGAAGGGCCCUUGCCAAGGUGCCUGGUACCAUGUACACUGCAAUGCAGGAGUUAUCCGCAGACUUUCCAAACAGCUCAAUCCUGCCCUCCCUAGAAGAAGGUGGAUAUACUGGGGUAGAAGACAUUAUGAAGCCCACAGGUGUUUGGACCUAUUUCAUAUGAAUUAAGGAAAGGGAUUCGGAGAAGAAACGCAUGAAACUGGUAUUUUCCACCGUCGCCUGGAGGGAUCUGCCGAGCUGACCCAGAGAGGCCACUCCCUGCCCACUCAUGUUCUCACUGAGGUAUACGGGUCAGCUGCCACGGUCCCGGGCAGGAAAGGAGGCGGGUACAACCUUCCACCUUUUUUACUUUUUUUAACCUCAGUGGUCUCCAGUACACGAGGACAGGCAGGGGCAAGGCCAAGGGGGUGGCCCUUCUCUGCUCCCCUCCCACUUCUCUGUGAGUCCAUUCAAAUACUGUUUCCUCUCAGUGUCACCUAAUUCCACCUCCCCCACCCCAAACCCUGUAAUACCCCAGUCCCGUCCUUUACUUCACAAGAAGAGGUACUUCUGCUUGCGUUUCUCCCUGACCUGAGCCAGAAUUAAAUUUAGUUUUUGUUUUUCA